rnacentral:rRNA from 1 species
CCUACGGGCGGCAGCAGUGGGGAAUAUUGGACAAUGGGCGAAAGCCUGAUCCAGCCAUGCCGCGUGUGUGAAGAAGGCCUUCGGGUUGUAAAGCACUUUCAGUGGGGAAGAAAGCCUUGGGGCUAAUACCCUCGAGGAAGGACAUCACCCACAGAAGAAGCGCCGGCUAACUCCGUGCCAGCAGCCGCGGUAAUACGGAGGGUGCGAGCGUUAAUCGGAAUUACUGGGCGUAAAGCGCGCGUAGGCGGUCUGAUAAGCCGGUUGUGAAAGCCCCGGGCUCAACCUGGGAACGGCAUCCGGAACUGUCAGGCUAGAGUGCAGGAGAGGAAGGUAGAAUUCCCGGUGUAGCGGUGAAAUGCGUAGAGAUCGGGAGGAAUACCAGUGGCGAAGGCGGCCUUCUGGACUGACACUGACGCUGAGGUGCGAAAGCGUGGGUAGCAAACAGGAUUAGAUACCCUUGUAGUC